AGAAUCUCAAGAUGAUAAUGGUAAUGUUUUACGUGUGACGUUGCCUGAUCCAUGUACUGCCAUACGUGUGAGUGUUGCGGAUGGAUGCAUUGGUUCUGCUAGGACAGAUAUAGAUGGACUAGUUCUUAAAGCAAGUGAUAUUGAAAAAAAGUAAGUUGUGUAUGAACUACUGAGAAGUAAGAGGAUUGAAGAAAAUGAUAAACGGCUAGCAGCGGUACGGGCAACAAGAGCUUCUAUGCAGGAAGAUAUGGAAGCAAACAAAGCCGCCAAAAAGAAAAGAAAGGCACCCUCCAGCGCACCUGUAAGCGCGAAUGAAGGACGUGUUUUGAGGUCUAGGGUAUCAAAAGAUCAAGAUCAUGUUGAUCCUGAGCAUCAGCCUUCCAAAGAGAUUACUCGUGAGCUGGAUGAUGAUGGUAGUCAAAAGAAAGGUGGAAGAAAAAUUACUCGAAAGGCUAACAUAUAUGCAAGGUUGAAUCAACCCAAAAUCCAUAUUCCACUUAAUGGGGAUGGGCAGCAUGUUGGGCCAGAUGCAACUGAAUUUGCCAAUUUCAUUGGUACUUUGGUGAGGAAGCAUAUACCACCUGCAGAGUUAGACUGGCGAGAUGUUGAUGUAGAAAAAAAGUUGUUAGUGUGGGAGACCUUGAAGGCAUUUUAUGAGCUGGACUCAACUGCUUUGAGCUUUGUUAUCAACACUUCACACAUAAAAUGGAAGGAUUGGAAGUCAGAUUUAAAGAGGUACAAGUUUGAUGCUGCGCUCACUGAUGCACAACUUAUGAAAAGACGUGACAGCAGAAUUAGUGAAGCUGACUGGAAGACCCUUAUUACUUAUUGGAGAUCUUCGGCAUUUGAAAAUCGUGCCAAUGCAGUACCUCAUACAUCUGGCAGCAAGAGUCAUGCCCGUGUUGCCAAUGAAAUGGCUGUCAAACUUGGGCAUGAUCCUCGGAGAGAUGAAGUUUAUAUCGAAACACAUACAUGCAAGAAAGGGGAAAGGAAAGGGAGUUAUGUGCCGCAGGCAGCAGCAACAAUUAAAGAACUCAUAGAGAGUGCUGAAAAACACCCUGAAUGGAAGGACAAAAGCAUUAAAGAAGGUGAUCUGUUUGCACGUGUAUGUGGACUGAAGGAGCCCAGGGGUCGUGUCCGUGUGUUAGGUCUAGGGCCAACACCUCAAGAUUUGGGCACACCGGGUACACGGGGUAAACUGAGCACAAGAGUUCUAGUUGCAAUGGAAGGGCGCCGAGAAGCUGAAAAUCGCUUUAACAUGCUCCAGGGGCAUGUGCAACAAAUGGAGGAACGAAUGAACCGAAUGGAAUUGAUGUUAGCUUCACAAGGAAGGCAUAAUCUGGAAACUCCUAUCUCGCAGCACGGUUCCAAUUCUCGACAAAACUCCGGAGUUGAAGCUGAGGAAGAUAACGAUGCUGAAGAAGAUGUUGAACAGGAUGAUGAAGAGCCAUUUGUUCAUAGAAGAGUUGUUGCAAAGCCCUCUGCAAGAAGCUCAUCAGCCCAUGAAGAUGAAAGCCUUAUUGGUAUGGAUGUGCUUCUAUAUGCAUGGACUGGUCCUGAAACUCCUGUUGCCAAGGCAACGAUUAUCUCAGUUGACCCAGACACUAUGGUGGGCGGAGAGCCCCUUGGACCAGCAACUUAUGAGGUUCUUGUCAAUGUUGCUAUCAGAAGGGAUGCCACUGUGCCUUAUGAAUAUGAUGGUUUACAAAUUAUCGCUGAUGCUGUCACAAGGACCAUUGCAUGGCCAUCUAGCAAGAUGAAACCCUACAAACCAGGGGCAUCUUCCUCAUCCCGCCGCUAAGGCACACUGCAGUCUUUUCCAGCCCAGAGAAAAGAAAGAAAGAAAAUUGGUGGUUUUUUCUAGAAAAACUGACCAUCGUAAGACAUACAAAAGGACCAUGAAGGAACCAUGAAGAUGGCAGUUCGUGUUUGCUAGACAUCUUGUGUAAUGGAGCAAAAACAGUGUCUUUUAGGAUCAUUUUGUGGACCUAUAUGGCGGCGUCUUGUCAUCUGGGUAUUUUGUGUAAUGGAGCAAACAAUGAAUCGAUGGACAUGCAUCUAUCAUUUUGUAAACCUAUCGAGUGAUUCGGUGACUGGAACAUAUAAAUGUUGGAAGGCUUAUGAGAAUGAAUUACUGUUUUAUCCUUC